AUUGAACGCUGGCGGCAGGCUUAACACAUGCAAGUCGAGCGGAGCGGCGGACGCGUGCGUAAUGCUUAGGAAUCUGCCUAUUAGUGGGGGACAACAUCUCGAAAGGGAUGCUAAUGCCGCAUACUAAUAGCUGAGCCUAAGUCGGAUUAGCUGGUUGGGGGGGUAAAGGUCUACCAAGGCGACGAUCUGUAGCGGGUCUGAGAGGAAGAUCCGGCAAAAUGGGACUUAGACACCGCCCAGACUCCUAUCGGAGGCAGCAGUGGGGAAUAGUGGAAAACGGGGGGCACCCUGAUCCAGGCAAGCCGCUGGUGUGAAGAAGGCCUUAUGGUUUUAAAGCUCUUUUAGCGAGGAGGCGUUACUCGCAGAAGAAGCACCGGCUAACUCCGUGCCAGCAGCCGCGGUAAUAC
rnacentral:rRNA from 1 species